ensembl:lncRNA
UGCUCUUAGUUUAAAAUUCUUGUAACUGGUGAUAAGAAUUGCUGUUUUGUAGCAGUAAUAGUCUAUCAUGCACUUUGUAUAGAAAAUGAGGAUACGUAAAACUUGGAAAGCAACAUCUUUGUCCUCAAAACUCCCAAGCUACACCGAUGACAAAAUGCCGAUUAACACAAAUAAUAAAAUAACAAUAGUAAUGAAGUAAAAUCCUGCUGGCUUCCAGAAAUCACUCUAAAAGGAACAUCUGACGCUAGUUUUUUGUUUUGUUUUUUUUUUCAGUUCUGUUCUUUCCUUUAAGAUUUGGGCAAUCAAGGCUCUAGUUUUUGAAAUAUCCUGCAUAUUUCGUGCACUUGAGGGGAAUUUUAUAAAGAGAUUUCAGGUGUUGUCAGUUUUUCGGCGAUUAUCAGGCAGCUAAAAAUACACAGCUUUCUGCUGUGCUGAAAACUCCUUUGCUCUCUUGCUUCCUGUUUUGUUUUGCCAGCAGGGGGCACUGGAGAGGGACGACUGGAUCGGAGAAGGGGCUUCAUCGCGAUUGGCUUGCUGCUUCUGUCGCGAUGCAGUGGCGCUUCGCCUUGGCUGCAGAGGCUGGUGGCAGCCUCCACCUUCUUUCCGCUCCUCCAGAAACAUCCUGCAGGGGUCGGUCAGUCACACCAGCAACAGCUGGGAGGCGCCCCUUCCUCAGCGGCCUGAGCUUAGCCUGGCGUCUCCUUCUCUAAAACCCUGCUCCCAGCAGCAGCCGGGCAGCCCUCCCUCCUCCGCAGGUGAAUGA